GUACUGCUGAUGUUACUACUCCUAGUUUUGGUGAUCCCCAACUUUUCAUGCAGCAGAAAAAAUAAAUGAGGCCGCAGUUAAGAAAAACUUACUACUGGAGGUUUCCUUGAGGGCCAAGUUAAUUUCUCUUCCCUCACCUUUUGCCCAAGCAUCAUCCAGGGCCCGGGUCCCGACGGCGACCACCCGGCGCGCCGUGGCUGCCGGCAUCCGCGAGGACCGCCGACUCCGGGCAACCCGGCUCCCGGCCGACUGACGGAGCAGGAGCGUCCGCGGCUCCCGAAGCUCACGACUCUGGCAAGGGGUCCCGGUUGGGCGGUGGACCCUGGCAUUUAAAAACUACUGAAAAGUCUCGCUGUUGAAGUGACUCGGCGGAGACCGCUGCCACUUGGCGUCGCCGGGUCCCGGUCCUUUCUGAGCCGUCCGGGCGGCCCAGGCGACCCUCCACGAGACCGCGGUCAGCUCCUGGGAGCGGGGAAGAGCAGCCAAAGCCAAAACACGCCGCGGCAAGUUCCCGGAGCAGUCAGCUGCAGCUUUCCCUUCUCUCUUCAGUUACAAGUCCCCCGGCAGCUUCGGGCGCUUCCUUAGAGAAAAUGAAAAAAGUGAAAAAGCGUGGAGGUAUUAGAAGUCGCUGACAUUUUCCGUUGAAGCAGAUCCUCUCGGCUCCAUCCCUUAAGCAGGAUUUCCAAACUCAUAUGCAUCCUUAGCGGAGGUAUUCCAUGUUGACAGAUCUCUCGCCUCCCACAAAAUGGGGCCGAGGAGGCGGCCGCUGUCUCCUCUAUGGGCGCCGCCAUUUUGUGAGGCGGCGGCGCGGCGGCAGGAGCCCCGGGUGUGUGUAAUGGUUGAAUAGAAUGACCCCCUCUAGGGAAUCCCCGGCGCUGACAGUUACGUAAGGGGCUGUGAGCAAGUGCGGCGUUUAGGGAAUCCGCACAGCUCGGGACUCGCAGCUCUGCGGCCCGUAUCUCCACCACCCCUAAGAGGACUGGUGGGGGAAGGGACGGAUGACCUGGUCUCCCUUC
ensembl:lncRNA